UACGAAGGGUGCAAGCGUUACUCGGAAUCACUGGGCGUAAAGCGUGCGUAGGCGGUUUCUUAAGUCUGUCGUGAAAGCCUGGGCUCAACCUGGGAAUGGCGAUGGAUACUGGGAGGCUAGAGUGUGAUAGAGGAUGGUGGAAUUCCCGGUGUAGCGGUGAAAUGCGUAGAGAUCGGGAGGAACACCAGUGGCGAAGGCGGCCAUCUGGAUCAACACUGACGCUGAGGCACGAAAGCGUGGGGAGCAAACAGG
rnacentral:rRNA from 1 species